rnacentral:rRNA from 1 species
UUUUAUUUGAGAGUUUGAUCCUGGCUCAGGAUGAACGCUGGCGGCGUGCCUAACACAUGCAAGUUGAGCGAUUUACUUCGGUAAAGAGCGGCGGACGGGUGAGUAACGCGUGGGUAACCUACCCUGUACACACGGAUAACAUACCGAAAGGUAUGCUAAUACGGGAUAAUAUAUUUGAGAGGCAUCUCUUAAAUAU